rnacentral:rRNA from 1 species
UACGAAGGGUGCAAGCGUUACUCGGAAUUACUGGGCGUAAAGCGUGCGUAGGUGGUUUGUUAAGUCUGUUGUGAAAGCCCCGGGCUCAACCUGGGAAUGGCAAUGGAUACUGGCAAGCUAGAGUGCGGUAGAGGGUAGUGGAAUUCCCGGUGUAGUGGUGGAAUGCGUAGAUAUCGGGAGAACACCAGUGGCGAAGGCGACUUACUGGACACAUAUUGACGCUGAGGUGCGAAAGCGUGGGGAGCAAACAGG